CAAGGACAAGAAGGAAGUUGCUCUCUCUCGCUCUUCCUCUUCCUCUCUGUGGAGUCGCCAUGUAACCACCAGGAAGACAAGACACAAGGCCUGCUUCCACCAUAAGCUUCCAGAGCCUGACUCCUCCUGACCUCAGAGUGCAGCCAUGGGAAUGCAAGUUAGGAGGACGGUGUUCUCAGAGCUUCAUCCAGUGGCUGAUGGAAGCAGAAGCAGACGCCCACAGCUAAACACUGAGCUGAACUCUGGAAUUCAGUUGCAGCGACGGAGGAAUGAUGAACAAAGGGGUCAAGACCAGGCUGGAGAAACCCACAGAAACAGCUGGCCUGAACAAGGGUUACUCAUGGGCCCCAGAUUGAUAACUGGGAAACCAGCAUAGGACUGAUCCAGACCCUAUGACAAGGAUGUAAACUGAAUGUAUGUUCCCUAUUCAGCUAAAUGAAGACACUCUUCCCUGUGCCACAGGAAGACUCCUUGAAUUUCUGUAUGGAUUCCCACUCCUAUCCAAUACCACCCUUUGCAAAGAGCUCCCUUUCAACAUAUGGUGCUGGCACACAAAGACACAUGGAAGCCCAGAGACUCAUCUAGCUAACUGCUACCUCUGUGGGUCUGUUUCUGAGCCCAGUGAAUUUCCUGAGGCCAACAUUGCCUUUACCAUGACUUUCCAAACAAUUCCAAAGCAUAGUGCUAAGGCCAUCUACUGAGAAGAGAAGGAAAUACUUCAGAAAAACGAUGAAGGUCGGGGCAAAAUUAAUAAGGGGAAUUUUACAAGGGUAACAGAAGGAAAAACCUUUUUUACAGGACAAGGUGUGAUUUCUGGAGGUGAAGGAUGUGAUUCCUGAAGCGCCCUUUCCUUCUCAGCUCCUAGGAACAGAAAAGACCAUCUGUCCGAUGUUUUGUUAUGUUUUCUUUGCUACGGGCUUUCAGUGUUCAGAAAAAAAAUCUCCUGGUCACUACACUUUGUCAUCAAGUGAGAGAGCACACACAGCACCAAGAACAUCACUCCUUGAUGAUGAAAAACCAAGGAAUAAGAGUUCAAAAGCCUGCCUCAAAGCCACAGGAAAGGCAGUUACAGAAGCGGGCUUCUUGACUCUGCUAUCCACAAAGUCAACACAAACAGUCUAGAUUUGUUAUCUCCUCCCUUCUCCGAGGCUGAGUGACAAACUGAGAUACUGUCAUGAGAGCACAGGAAGUCCAUUCCCCAGGCCAGCUGUGAGAGGGCAGCUGAGCAGGAGGCCAGAAAGCAAGUCAGCACAGAGUUCUUCCCACCUCCGCUCCGUCUGACCCCUCCAUGUGGCCCAGAGUCCGCCAAUACCCAGAAGAGGCACUGCUAAGGCUGUGGGAGGGCGCCAGCAGCGGUGAAGUUCACUGAACCGGUCACUUUCUGAGCAUCUUUUAGCAAAGAAAAGGCUGGGGCUCAAGGGGGAUGGUGUGACUCGUCUACUGACAUUUCGGAUUAUUUCAUUUGGUAACUCACAGAUAACUUAUAUCGUUAUUUAUAAACUCUGUUUAUAAACCGUACAAAUGUUCCAGGAAUCCUUUCUGACACAGGACUAAGUUCAGUCAAUCCAGUUCUUUGAAACAUGUUAACACAGUUCUCAAGGAAUGCCAGCUAGUCACGUGUCACAUUCGAAGCUUCAAAUGUUCAAAGUGAAGAAAAGUUGUAUCCAAACAGGUUCAGUAUGAAAACGGGCCAUAUAAGGAAGAACUAUUUCUACGGAAAACCACACCCACGGCUGAACUCCCUGUUAUAACAGCCAAGACAGUAUAAGUGUACAAAGUGCACUGAUGCAACUGUGGACCACAAACUUGGAUUUAUUUGUAUUCACUGUGAAUACAACAGCAACAAUGACUGGUGUAGUGGCAUGCUUCUCCUGCAAAUGGAAUUUCACUGUCUUCCUGUAGACAUACCUCUCUUUCAUUGUGAGUCUCUAAAUGCAAACAGAUAAUCUCUAACAAAAUCAGGAAAAAAAAGAAAUCCAUCAGUCAUAAGACAAUAAACAUCUCAAAGUACAAUCCAUCGUUUCUCAGCAACUACUAAACUGUGAGCAACAAUACUUUUAAAAGAUUUGAGUCAUCAAAAUAGGUUGUACAAUGGGAUGAUUUUAUAAAUUAAAAUUUAUAAAAAUGUAAGACUGUUUAUAUUUAAAUUGAUUGGAAUAUGUAUAGUAUGUGAAAAUCAGAGAGAUCCUAUAAUAUGUUUCUUUCUUGACUCUUGGUGUACAUAAGGUGUGAAGAAUCUAAUUUCUAGAAAGGCAUACUGUGACUUCUUAGAAAAUAUUUUUGUCAGAUUUUUGAAAAUUCUAGAGUGACUUCUACUAUGCUUUUCAUGGAAAAUAGAUCCUGUUCUCAAUAUUAGGCAUUUAUAAAACAAAAAACAUCAUUACAGAUAAGAAUGGUUUCACAUCUUUACAAAUGUCUAAUCGUUGACAAAGAAAUCAGAAGCUGGCCGGUCUUAUCUGGAGAGCACCCCAAAGAGUGAAAAGCUGCAAACUGGUCUUUCUGAGGAGCGAAGACCACUUUUAUGGUGGCAAAUGCUCUCGACGGGGUUCCUAAAUCAAGAAACUGGAGAAGAAGUGCUGUGUCAUCAGAAUUCCAAAAUUUGGGUCUCUGUGUGUGCAAGCAUGGACCCAAAGCCGCAAAGAGCAGACGAAAGCAACCGCUACCUGUAGACUCAACUGAGCCAUUUGAUCAACACUUUAGAAACCGCCCCAUGAAUACUCUAAAGUCAUUUUCCUUUCAAAAACAGGGAAAAACAGAUAAGGGGCAUCUGCAGCAUCAAGCAGAUUGGAAAAUGAAAAGUUCAAAGAAGAAGGAAAAAAAAAAUACUGACGAAAGCCGAGUUUAGUUGUUAAAUCAUCCAACUUGCUUUGCCAAAUUUUGACAUGCUUGGUUUCUUGUAGUUAAAAUAUAAAUAUCCUCUCUCUCUCUCUCUCUCUCUCUCUCUCUCUCUCUCUCUCUCUCUCUCUCUCUCUCCCUCCCUCCCUCUCUCUCUCUCUCCUUUGAAAAAAAGUGAGGAAAAUAAGCAGCUGUUCCUUGUAUAGUUCAGGAAACAAGUUUGAUUUAUUACUUUAAGGUUAUUUUUGAAUGAGCUGCUUGUGGCAGGCAGAGCGCAGAAGUCACUGAGGCCUGUCCACUUGAAGGGCUCAAACUGUUUCCUGAACAGCCCUCCUUCUCGCCUCACCUCCGAGGGCUAUUAUUGACAACGUGUGACUGGGGCCUUCCAGGAUUUUAAAACAGCAGGGGUCCCGGCUGAACAAUCGGGCUGUCAAUUACCUUUUCCCCUGUGGUGAAAGAGGGGCCCAGGACAAUGCAACUUCUCAGCAGGGAGCCGUGCAGCCCAUAGUUUGUAACCCACUCUUGCACAGCUCCGCAUUGAAAACCCAGUAAAUGGUUGGUGCCUUCACUUUUGUCUGUGUGUGUCAGUUCAAACCAGAAUUGCUGCAAGGUGUAGGCAUCUCCAUGGAUGGGUUUUCAAGGUCUCGCCAGGGCAAACAGAUUCUGGACAAUGUUAUCUCGGAACUUCGAAGUUUUCUUUUUGGUCCACACAGACACAAAGAGCCUCCCGGCUGCCGGCCCAGUGCUGCCGGCUCGUCCGGCCACAACACCCAGGCCUCUCUACCUAUAUUGUGGCUUAAAAAACUUCCUGUGAGCAUUGAUGACUUGCUGUGAGGACUGUCCAUCAUCCUGCCCCUUUGUCUGGCAGUCACUUCCAUUCGAAUUUGACUGACUGAGGCAGCCUGAGUCAUUUGUAAAGAACAACAAGGCUUUUCAUUCAUAAUUUUAGUAGGGGGACGGGGUGCUAAUGACUGGGCUUGAAUAACUAGGGAACGAGGUAUUCACGGCAGGAAGAUGCACCAUCGGCUGCCAAAGAGGAUGGAGAAGAUGCGGGCAAGGUGCAUGGGUAAAAAGCCAGUGGCCGGAGGAUCACAUGUGUAUACAAAUACAAAUCACGGUUUUAUUAAAGGUGAGACUUUCAACAAGACAGAAGGGAUGGCAAGGGGCUCAGAUAGGAUUGCAUAGGCUGUGGGCAUCACUUCCCCACAAGCGUUGACGGAGUGACUACAGUCAUCGUUUCUUCUGCUGCUGACUGUCCUGCAGAACACUUUUUCUGCUUUAGGAAAUGUUUGCCCUCUCCCUUGGUGAUAUAUAUAUAUAUAUAUAUAUAUAUAUAUAUAUAUAUAUAUAUAUAUACCCCCGCGCCAGGGAGCUCAGCUUGGCAACCAGGUCUGGGUUCCAAGAAGCUUCCCUGUGGGGUCUGUGGUCACUUGUGUGCCUCAUUAUGGCCACGGUACACAAUCCUGUAUAGACCAUGUUCCCAAGGAACAGAAUUUGAAAUUAAUUAACUAAUUAAUUAAUUUCUGGUCGGACAGUUGUGGGAUUUAUUUUUAUUGCUGAAAUAGUAACACUGCAGUCUGAGUUUUUUAAGCUGAGGAGUGCAAGUUGUCAGGCUGAGAAUGAACAGUUCACUGGUUGGGUGCUUGCCUGUCAAUCAAUUAUGCCAGAAGCUGGAAGGCAAUCUCAGCAUCAGGAAGCAUGCUCCCUGAUUUGUCUUUAUGAACUAAGUAAUUCCUAUGUGUUUCUUGGUUACCUGCUUUAAAUAAAAAGUCAAUCAGAUUGCAUAAAAUGAUAAUCUUGGUAUGGACUAGCAAAAGUGGGAUUUUAAUUAUUUGCUUUAUAGAACUGGUGUGUCUGUUGUUUUGAGACUGGUUGUCUCUAUUACAUAGCUCUGGCUGGGCUGGAACUCAUGUAGACCAAGCUAGCUGACCUCUGCCUCCCAAAUGUUGAGACUUAAGAUGUGUGCCAACCCACCCAGCGUGACUAGUGUCCUUAGGGAGCACUUAGAGCUACUGAGGCUAGAGGUCAAAGUUGAGAUCUUCAGUUGUAUGUGUGCACGUUUCUCAAAGUUCUUGUUCAGGAACCAGCUACAAUUACAGCGUGGUCAUGUCAUAGCAUUCUUCUGUGAGACAAGAUCUCAUUAUUGAGUCCCCAUUCACCUCAAACUUCCAACCUCCUGCUCAGCCUCCCGAGAGCUAAGCUUGGCAGGUGCAUGCCACCACACUUGGUUUUCAUUUCAUUCUGAUAAUCUUUCUACUCUGUUCAGUGAGGAAAUUAAGGCACUAAGAUGUUCCAGUACUUUCUUUUGAUGUAUUGUUCUUUCUGGGUUGGGGGGAAUGCUUGGGGGGCCUGUUUGUUUGUUUGAGGAACAAUCUCAUGUUGCCCAGGCUGCCCUCAAGUUUGCUAGAUAACUGAGGAUGACUUAGAACUCCAGAUCCUCCUGGCCUUACACCUCCCAAAUGCUGAGCUGAUAAGACAGGGCAGGGUGCACCACACCUGGCUCUUCCAGUACUUUCUAUCUGUUUCUACCUCAAUACUCAGCAAGGUAUAGGCAUGAGAACACAUUCCUGGAAAGUUCUAAAGCUAAUCCAAAGUAAGCAUUAAAUGUCGUAUUUAUUUUAUGUAUUUAUUUAUAUACUCGGCUGUUUGUGCCAAGCAUGUACAUAAGCUGAAAUAAAAUUUGAUGGACCAUGUUUAUCUUGCAGCUUCUUGUGCUCGCUGGCAUAUCUUCACACAUCCCUGAGUUUUUGAGAACAGGAUUAAAUAACUUUCCCCAAGGCUCUAACCUAAAAUCGGUUGACAACUUAAUCACACCUUGGCGAUUCUACAUUCAGGGACAGGUUAGACACAGCAUACUCUUCCAUCUGUGACGCCUUGGGACUUGAGGCUCAAGUCACAAUCCCAGGAAAGACAGACACUACCACUGGCCCAGAAUAGGCAAGUGAUGAAGUUAAUGAAGGUUCCUUUUAGGUGUUAUGUAAUGAUGGUUGUUGGAUGGGGUGGCAAGCUGACUUCAGCAUUUAGUGUUCUCUCUGCUCACCAUAGCUGAUUUUCCAACCAAAGAAAGCAGAAGAUACCUGGAUAAUCUAGCGCACAGGUGUGAGCCGACUCCAGCACCCACCUUGCACCCACCAUCACAUCCCCACACUUUGAUGUCUCCUCCAUUUUCUAUUCUUGUUUUCAAUGAGCUAAAGAUCCCUAUCAUGAUUAAUAAUGAUGAUGAUGAUGAUGAUGGAUGCAAUAAUGAUGCUUGUUUAGUAAGUUAUUAGAAGUCAGACCUCUUCUACAACCCUCUCGUCUUCACUUGUCUUCUCUCAUCUUGUCCUCUCCCUUCUAUCCCCCUCCCUCCCCACUUCCCUUCUCUCCUCUCCUCUCCUAGUCUCUGUCUCUGCCACUCUUCCUGCAGACCAAUAUGUAAGAUCUCAGCUACUGCUCCAUUGCCUUGCCUUCCUACAGUCCUGUUCCCUGCCAUAGUGACCACAGACUAACCUUCUGAAAUUGUACACAACCCCCAAUUAAAUGCUUUCUUAUAGAAAACAUUUGCAGCAAUAUUCAUUCCAGCAAUAGAAAAGGAACUAUGAAGGUGUGUCAUCUUUAGGUUAUGAAACAGUUUUUCUUAAAUAUUUUCCAGAAGUUUAUAGUUUUUAUUUGUGCCUCUGGUUUGUUCUUUUGGCAGUAAUGGGUACAAAAUUUGGGUUCUCUUCCAUUGUAGGCAAGUGCUGUAUAACUGAGCUGCAUGUCUAGCCCUAAAAGAAUACUUAAUAACUUAAAUAUCUCAACAUACAAAGUACCAGUGGAAUUGCAGCGACUUUCUUGGCUUUAUUUAAAACAUUCUUAUUUUACUACUUAUCUUAAUUUUGAGUCAGUGGAUGAAAAUACAGUAUGAGCCAUAAUUUUGUUGUUAAUCUGAAAUAUAAGUCAAGUGCCCUGUGUUUUUGUUUGUUAACUCUAGUAGCUGCAGGUCAGAAUUGUCACUCUAUAAAUCAAAGUCAUAUGAAACUGGCUAUCUUUAUUCUAUCUCAUCAUCUUGACAUGUCCAUCCAUCAAAAUUUCCUCAUGAAUGUGCCCACAAGCAAUUCAGAAUUUUAUACUGACACAGUUCCCAAUUACUUUAAUUCUAGCAUGGAGUAAGAAGGGGCUCGUGAAAACAAACGAAUGAAUAACUCUCUUGCUGAC
ensembl:lncRNA